CUGGCGGCAUGCCUUACACAUGCAAGUCGAACGGCAGCACGGGUGCUUGCACCUGGUGGCGAGUGGCGAACGGGUGAGUAAUACAUCGGAACGUACCUUAUCGUGGGGGAUAACGCAGCGAAAGCUGUGCUAAUACCGCAUACGAUCUACGGAUGAAAGCGGGGGAUCGCAAGACCUCGCGCGAUUGGAGCGGCCGAUAUCAGAUUAGGUAGUUGGUGGGGUAAAGGCUCACCAAGCCAACGAUCUGUAGCUGGUCUGAGAGGACGACCAGCCACACUGGAACUGAGACACGGUCCAGACUCCUACGGGAGGCAGCAGUGGGGAAUAUUGCACAAUGGGGGAAACCCUGAUGCAGCCAUGCCGCGUGUGUGAAGAAGGCCUUCGGGUUGUAAAGCACUUUCAGCGAGGAGGAAAGGUUGGUAGCUAAUACCUAUCAGCUGUGACGUUACUCGCAGAAGAAGCACCGGCUAACUCCGUG
rnacentral:rRNA from 1 species